GAUGAACGCUAGCGGCAGGCCUAAUACAUGCAAGUCGAGGGGCAGCACGGGUAGCAAUACCUGGUGGCGACCGGCGGACGGGUGCGUAACACGUUUACAAUCUGCCUUUAACAGGGGGAUAGCCCGGAGAAAUCCGGAUUAAUACCCCAUAAUAUAUUGAGUGGCAUCACUUGAUAUUGAAAGCUCCGGCGGUUAAAGAUGAGUAUGCGCCUGAUUAGUUAGUUGGUGAGGUAACGGCUCACCAAGACGACGAUCAGUAGGGGAUCUGAGAGGACUACCCCCCACACGGAUACUGAGACACGGAUCCGACUCCUACGGGAGGCAGCAGUAAGGAAUAUUGGACAAUGCCCGCAAGGGUGAUCCAGCCAUGCCGCGUGCAGGAAGACGGCCCUAUGGGUUGUAAACUGCUUUUACACCGGAGAAAACCCCUGCUCGUGAGCGGGGCUGAUAGUAUGGUGAGAAUAAGCAUCGGCUAACUUCGUGCCAGCAGCCGAC
rnacentral:rRNA from 1 species